UGCAUGGCUGUCGUCAGCUCGUGUCGUGAGAUGUUGGGUUAAGUCCCGCAACGAGCGCAACCCUUGUCAUUAGUUGCCAUCAUUUGGUUGGGCACUCUAAUGAGACUGCCGGUGACAAACCGGAGGAAGGUGGGGAUGACGUCAAGUCCUCAUGGCCCUUAUGGGUAGGGCUUCACACGUCAUACAAUGGUCGGUACAGAGGGUUGCCAACCCGCGAGGGGGAGCUAAUCCCACAAAGCCGAUCGUAGUCCGGAUCGCAGUCUGCAACUCGACUGCGUGAAGUCGGAAUCGCUAGUAAUCGUGGAUCAGCAUGUCACGGUGAAUACGUUCCCGGGUCUU
rnacentral:rRNA from 1 species